GGCUGGUAGUAGUCUUGAGGACAUGGAUAACAGGGCAUUAAUCCAGAACGAGAGAACUCUCCUACUCGACAAGGCACUGCAAAAUUGAAGUAUUUUCUGGACAUACGAGGCAUCCCCGGGAACCAAAUGCUGGCUGAUAGCUGCCCAGUGGACAAGAUUCGCAGGUCUCAAGCCCAUUUGAUGAGAACUACUGCCCACUGAAGGCAAGUCUGAGGCAUCCUCAGACCCAAAGGCUCCGAGGAAACAGGCCAAUUUUAGAACCUUCCUUCCUUGAAGAUUUGGUCUACUGUUCGGAGGCCUGGAGUGCAGAAUUUCUGAGACCAAAGUGGGAUGUUAAAUUCACUGAAAGGCUGCUAUCAAAGUUAGUAUUUUUAUAGAGAGGAUACUUGAAAGAAUCACUUGGGUGAUUCUGAGGUGUUAAGGUAUGUAAGAAUUACCUGGCAACUUAUUAAAUUUCAGAUUCCAAUGCCCUAACCCCAAGGGGUCAGAUGCAUCCGUUUUGGGAUGGGGCUUUAAUCAAGCUGCAUUUUGAAAGCACUUCAGGGUAUGCUGACACAUGUAGUCUGAAGACCACACUGAGAAAUGCAAAAUGCUGGCCAAGGCAAUUCCUGAUUUUCACUCACAGAUUGAGAAAGAAACAAGAGGAGGUUCAGAAAGACAUCGUUAAUGUGCUUUUUGAUGGGCUGGGUUUAUCACACUGUGAAAAACUCAACUGAGCUCUGGGAAUAGCAAUAAGAACUGUUGAGGAAGGUUUUCCGACCAGGACACAAGAGCCCCAACCUACAGAGAGGUUAACAGAAGACUCAUGUCAGUUGGUUCCAUUGAGUGUACAGAGUUUGGUCAGAGGAGAUCCCGCCAUCUAUAAAUGAUGACUUAUUUGGGAAAGAGACUGGAACUGAUCCAGAUUGUGAGAGUCUAAAAUAGGGGUAAAAGCUAAGGAACUCGGGGGAGGGAGAAUGGGGAAUGGAAGUUUAAUGGGUCUGGGGUCUCCUUUGGGGGUGAUGAAAAUGUUCUGGAAUUGUG